GCAUGGGGGGGGGGGGGUUAGCGGCUGGGGCACCCAUGGGUGCUGCGGGAUGCGUUCGCAGCCCCACGGGGCAUCGGGGAGGCCGGGUGUCCCAUCCUGACCCCCGUGUACCCAGCCCCGUGCCUCAGUUUACCACCCGGACGGCGCAUUGGGGCUGGGGAGGCAGGGCCGGACGCCUUCCCGCAGUGCGGUUACGCCAGGGAGGGGUUUGGCCCCUUGCCUGCAGCAGGCAGGGCAGCAGGCAGGGCAGCAGGCAGGGCAGCAGGCAGCCUCUUCCUGCGGGGGCCUGCGCCUUAGGGUGGGGGGGUCCCUGUCCCGGGGCUGCUGCGGGGUGAGGCGCAGCGCAAGGGGCAACGUAACGCGCCACGCGAGGGGCACGCAAGGUGCCGCGCAAAAGCGCAGCGCAAGGCGCCGUGCGAGACGCCGUGCAGGGGCCCUGCCGUGCAAAGUGCUGUGUAAGAUGCCGUGCAAGGUGCCGUGCAGGGGCCCUGCCGUGCAAAGUGCCAUGCAAGGUGCCACACAGGGUGCCGUGCAAAGGCCCUGCCGUGCAAGGUGCCGUGCAAGGUGCUGUGCAAAGACCCUGCCGUGCAAGGUGCUGUGCAAAGUGCCGUGCAAUGCGCCGUGUAAAGGCCCUGCCGUGCAAGGUGCCACGUAAAAUGCUGUGCAAGGUGCCAUGGAAAGGCCCUGCCGUGCAAGGUGCCGUGCAAGGUGCCACACAGGGUGCCGUGCAAAGGCCCUGCCGUGCAAGGUGCCAUGCAAAGUGCCGUGCGAGGUGCCACGUAAAGGCCCUGCCGUGCAAGGUGCUGUGCAAGGUGCCGUGCAAGGUGCUGUGCAAAGGCCCUGCCGUGCAAGGUGCCGUGCAAAGUGCCGUGCAAAGGCCCUGCUGUGCGCAGCCAGGCUUUCUGCAAGCCAGGGGACAGCACGGCAGAGGGGCAGCCCCCCGGCAAGCGGCACAGCCCCCCCGCUGACACCCCCAAGCCCCGGGGCACGCCGAGCUGCUCAGCACCCCCAGGAGGCGGGGGGACGUUUCUCCAGCCCAGGCCGAGCGGUGCGGGGAAGGGUCCCCGCGGGGAAGAAGCACCCACGGGCGCAGCGCCCUGAUGAACGAGCGGCCGCUGCCAGCACCCUGCUCCGGAAAACAGAGGUGUCGGGAAGCCAGCGCAGCACGUUGCCUGGGGAAGGCGCCCAGAUACCACCCCGAUGGGCAGCAGCCAGCACCCAGCUGCCUUCCAGCAGCCUCCUCUCGCUUUAUGGCUUCCAUUUGUUUCUAAUUACCCGAAAGCGCAUUAAAAAUGAGGCUCGUGCCGCACGCACGGAUAUGAAAAAGGGGGUUGGGGUGAGGGCUGGGGCAUCGCAGCACGGCAGCUCGACGGGGACGGGGACCGGGACGAGCCCGGGAGGGGGCUGGCAGCGGGGCCACGUCACCCCGAGGGACGAACCCCCACCCUGGCACAUUUGCACCCGCUGCGGCUGUGGGGUGACGGUCCCCAACGUCACCUGUGCCCCGCGGGACGUGGAGCGCACGGAUGGAUCCCAAAGUCACUGGAGAGGCGAGGAGAGAUCGGGGUGCUCCGGUUUCUGGGGCUUUCCAUCCAUCCCCCAUCCCGGGGGGACACCCUGCACCGCGGGAACACCCCCCUCGCCCCCCAAAACCCCUCUGCAAGACCCCGUGGAGCCGCCGGGGAAGGACGGGGGUCCGGCGUGCCACCGCGGUGUUGCAGCUGCCGAGAAAGCCGGAGCAUCCCCCAUCUGUGCAGGCAGGGAGAAGGCAGGGGCAGGCAGGGCUCCCUUGCCCGACGCCACCUGAUUUCGGAGGCUGCUCAGAGCCUGCCCUGGCACGAAGCCACCCGUAAUGGGUUCUCCUCGGAUAAUCCCUCCUCGCCUUUAAAUUCCAUUAAAAUCAUCUGGGAAGAUUAGCAACAGCGGUUCAGGCUGGGAAAAACAAUUCCCAGGGCAGCUGCUCGGCUCUGCCGAAAUACCGGGGGGUUCCUCCGGGCGCUGCCGGGACGGACCCUCACCCCGCGGGCAAGGAGCGCUGCCGGCACCCUGCUGCCUGCAUCUGCCUGCACCCCGCCGAGGGGCAGGCAGGGAAAGCAGCAGCCGGUGGGUUUGCUCGGUGCAAGCAGGGAAGGAAAAGAAAACGCGGCGUCCAACACGCGGUGCCCGAGCCGGGGGCGACCAUAACCCUGGCCAUGGGGUGGGAUGUGCCAGGGCAGCCACGGGCACCAGCCUCCCCGGCCCGGCACAGCGCCGGUGCUCAGCACGGCACAGCCCUGCGCUACCGGGGACAUUCAUCCCCCUGCUCUGGUCACGCCGUGUCACCCAGCAAAGCAUCACCGCCAGGUCCCCGGGGACCGGAGCACCCGCAGGGCACCGCUCGGAUCCACAGCACGUGCAGCCGGCCGGGGAGCAGGAUGCGGCCCCGCCACGCGGGUGGGAGGAAGCGGCGUUGCUCCUUCAGGGAGCGAAUUUCCACCGUCCCUGAAAUCCCAGGGAGAUUCCGGGAGGAGGGUGGGAUUCCCAGGACCGGAGGGGCUUUCCCCAGCCCCCCAUGGGGAAGGGGCUCAGCGCGGAGAUUUCCUCUGCUGGAGACUCAGCAACUGGGAAAAGGGGGAAAAAAAGGGGAUUGCUGAAACUCAGCAUUCCCUCUGAGUGACGAUGCCUGGUUCUGCCCGGAAAGGGCCCUUCGUUCACCUGCUUCCAGCCCAGCCGCCUCCUCCGGCAGCAGCUCCCGCACCGGGGAAGCCCGGGCAGGAGGAGGAGGAGGAGGGCAGGGUGCUGAGCCAGGGGCUGAGCUGCUCCGGCAAACCCCCGUCAUCACCCGCCCCAGAGGCAGGAGGAUGCUCUUACACCGUGCGUCAGCCCCCGCCGUGCCUCAGUUUCCCCACGUCCCCUGCCCUCAUGCGUCUGCAGAAAGACGGGGAGUUCCCGGCCCUCGACCCAGGGAAAGCGGAGAGCGCAGGGACCCCCCGGCAGGGAAAACCCGCGAGAAGAGGAGGAAUUAAUUCCUUGGGUUUGAAGGCCAAGGGAGGAGCAGAGCAUCCAGCCCCAAGAGCCGGGGACGGAGGGGGCGAUGCCAUCCUCGUGAGAGCCCGGAGCAAUUAACAGCGGGAUUUUUCCGGGUAAUUAAUGAGGCGUUAGAUAAAAACAGGUUGGGGAGCAUCCCCUGUCACUCCGCAUCCCGCCCCCCUCGGGGACCAGCACCCACGGGAGACCCCUGGGUGCCGCGGGGGUGUUUUGGCGUGCCGGAUCCUGACCCCGAGCCGUGCCAGGAAGCCCCGGGAACCGCGGCCACGGGACGGAGGCUCAGCCGGUCCUGCUGCCAGGACCCCCCCGGGACGCUGGAGCGGGGAAGCAGCGCUACCUCCUUCCCGGCCCUCGUUACACAAACGAACCCGCUAAUGAACCCCGGCGAAGGCGAGAUCGAUGGCGGGCGCUGCAGAAGUGCCGAGCAGGAAACAAUUACUCACCGCUCCUCCCCGCCGCCGCCGGCACCCACCCGCCCUGGCCCCACGCCGGGGGCACGAGUCCUGCGCAGCCCCACGCUAUGGGUGCAGGAGCCUGGGGUGGUCCCACGCUACGGGUGCAGGAGCCCCACAGAGCCCAACACCUGCGUGGCCCCAUGCUAUGGGUGCAGAACCCUGGGGUGGUCCCACAUGAUGGGUGCUGGAGCCCCACAGAGCCCAAGACUUGCACAAUCCUGUGCUAUGGGUGCUGGAGCCUGGGGUGGCCCCACAUGAUGGGUGCUGGAGCCUGGGGUGGCCCCACGCUAUGGGUGCAGGAGUCCUGCACAAUCCCACCUUAUGGGUGCAGAAGCCCCGCAGAGCCCUGAGACAGGCACGGCCCCACGCUAUGGGUGCAGGGACCCCACAAAACCCCGUGCGAUGGGUGCAGGAGUCACGCACGGCCCCACGCUAUGGGUGCAGGGACCCCACAGAGCCCCCCCCCACAAGACCUCAAGGGAUGCCCAUCCCCACGGCCCGCUCUGCCCGAAAGCGCCCGUGGGAGCGGGGCAGGGGCACGCGGGGACACGGUGGCCUCUCCCACUUCAGCAGCCGCUCCAUGCUGGGGGGGACCCUCACCCGCCGCUGGAUCCGGAGGGAGGGAAGGAGGAAGCGCGGAACCUUCCCUCCCCCUCCAGCCCUUCCUGGUGUCGAAACGCUGGAGACACGAGGCAGGAAGCUGCCGCCGCUGCCGCCGCUGCCCACCGGUGACU